UUUGAUGACUACGUUGCUCUUGGAUGAGUUUCUUAAACCUGUGUGUGUGUGUGUGUGUGUGUGUGUGUGUGUGUGUGUGUGUGGUGUCUUAUGAAGAUCUCUAGUCUUUGGAGACAGGAUCCACUGUCUCCAUGCUAGAAACCACUGUUGGGUGCCCCAGCCUUGCCCUGCUUCUUGUAGCCAAAAGGCUCAGGUAAGUGACAUUCCUGAGUUUUCCCUCUAGUAGUCUGGGCUGGGUAGGACUCACGCUUGGCUAACUAGUGUAGUUUUUAUUUCUUGGCCUCUGCCAUUUCAUCUUUCUCAGAUUCUAAUAUUACCUCUUUAAGAUGGGAACACCUAGGGAAUUUCAGAGUCGUGUACUGUUGUGUUAAUUUUGUAUAUGAUGUGUGCAGGUAUGACCUUGGACAUUUGGUAGAGAGGAGCAGGCAGGAAGGAGGAAUAUGGGUGAAAUUAAUUUAAAAAAUAACUCAAAGCAGGUGGACAGUCUUGGUCUCCUGAGCUUUUGGCAGGACACAGAACUCUUUUGUUUUGGUUUUUCGAGACAGGGUUUCUCUGUAGCCUUGGUUGUCCUGGAGCUCUCUCUGAAGACAAGGCUGGGCUCAUCUGUAGAGCCAGAGAUCCAUCCAUCCACUUGCUUCUGCCUCCCAAGAUUAAAGGCAUGUGCUACCACCUCCUGGCUAGGAUGGGGAACCCUUGCUGAUCUUUCUGUGUGUGGACUUUCAAAAUCUAGGUGAAGGGAGAACUGGGUGUGAGUGGUACAUACCUGUAGGCGGCUAAGAAAGGAAGAGGACUUGCGCCUGAGGAAAUGACAACAGUCUUGUUGUUUGAGACAGUCUCUCUCAGCGCAGGCUGGUCUUGAAGUCCUGGAAUUCCCAGUAAUCCUCUUUACUGUUUCUGUUUCCUGGGCUGAGUUUCUCAAGGGACGUCCUCACAAUUCCUGUUGUUGAAGAUGAUGUCUGUGGAGCGUCUGCUGUCUUAUUAUACGGCCCCUGCUCUCAAAGCUGGGCAGUCAGAAGGGCCGCAUCAGCAUCACCUGGGAGCUUAUUAGAACGAUGCAGGAUCUCCAGUGUCCCUACAGACUGGUUCGGAAAAAUCAGAAGCAAUGGGGGUACCUGUUCCAUUCAUGCCUCAUUCACAAGGGUCCAGGUGAUGCUGAUGAAGGCUGAGGAUGACCCGCUGCGCUGACGCGCGCCCUGAUGGCAUUGCCAUUCCGAGGGCCAUGACUUGGUGAAGCCACCUGCGGACAGCGAUGGCAUCUUCUGUGUCUACUUACUGAGUGCAUCGUUUCUCUGUCUCUAGGUUCCGAGGUUCCCUUUGGCAGCUGCCUUGCUGCAGGUGGGAAAGCCAGAAAGGGGCCUCCCACAGUUGCCCACUUUGUAGGGCAAAGCCUGUGUUUUCACCUUCUUGUGGAGUGGUUGCUUUUCCUCCCACACUUCGUCUGCUUCCGAAACUCCCGAGUUGGUCGCCGCCCAGCCAGACCAUGACAGCCAGAACGAUAUGCUUGCCUAGGAUUUGGUGAAUUUGUAACACAGUUUGCUCUUGCGCCAUAUGUGAUUAUGACUAUUGAAAAUUGUUGUGGAUUUCAAGAGAUGACUGUUUUCUCAAGAAGUUGAAGACCAUUGAAGCAUGGGUUGGAAUAAGGAUGAUAAUUUCUAUUAGCCUACGACACCUGCUGAUAUUUUAGUGUGUUUUGCAUACUCUUUCAGUGUACCCAUUUUCAGGAGCACUCCCCCGCUAAGCAAAGCUGUAAACCUGCUACAGGCCCUUUAGUUUUUUGGGGGGACGCCACUGCCGUGCCUUUAAGACAUGACAUUUUCUGACUGUGAUUUAUAGUUUUCCACUGUUGUUGAGCUCAGUGUCUCCAGUAAUUGAUUAUGCUGCGUA